rnacentral:rRNA from 1 species
GAAAUGCGAUAAGUAAUGUGAAUUGCAGAAUUCAGUGAAUCAUCGAAUCUUUGAACGCACCUUGCACCCUUUGGCAUUCCGAAGGGUAUGCUCGUUUGAGUGUCAUUGUACUCUCACACUCCCACUCUUUUGGAUUGGGAGCGGUGGACUUGGGUGUUGCUGCUUUACGGUGGCUCACCUCAAAUGGAGUAGUGCAACUCUUGGUUGGACAUAGUACGGCGUGAUAAGUAUCUUCGCCGGCGCCUCACUCGAGGGUGGCCGAUUGGGAGCUCUGUGCUUCAAACCGUCUUCGGACAAUCUCUGACAACUUGACCUCAAAUCAGGUAGGACUACCCGCUGAACUUAAGCAUAUCAAUAAGCGGAGGAAAAGAAACU